GAGAACGUGGUGUAACUGGAUAACACAUCAGUCUACGAAACUGAAAAGUGAAGGUACCCUUUGGGAACACCUUCGGUGAACAAGUCCUUCCGUUCUCG
rnacentral:tRNA from 1 species